rnacentral:rRNA from 1 species
AGCAGUCGCCGCGGUAAUACGUAGGUGGCGAGCGUUGUCCGGAAUCAUUGGGCGUAAAGGGAGCGCAGGCGGGCAUGUAAGUCUUUCUUAAAAGUUCGGGGCUCAACCCCGUGAUGGGAAAGAAACUACAUGUCUUGAGUACAGGAGAGGAAAGCGGAAUUCCCAGUGUAGCGGUGAAAUGCGUAGAUAUUGGGAGGAACACCAGUGGCGAAGGCGGCUUUCUGGACUGCAACUGACGCUGAGGCUCGAAAGCCAGGGGAGCGAACGGGAUUAGAUACCCGCGUAGUCCCUGUCUCUUAUACA